AGUGAACGCUGGCGGUAGGCCUAACACAUGCAAGUCGAACCGCAGCACAGGAGAGCUUGCUCUCUGGGUGGCGAGUGGCGGACGGGUGAGGAAUACAUCGGAAUCUACUCUGUCGUGGGGGAUAACGUAGGGAAACUUACGCUAAUACCGCAUACGACCUACGGGUGAAAGCAGGGGAUCUUCGGACCUUGCGCGAUUGAAUGAGCCGAUGUCGGGUUAGCUAGUUGGCGGGGUAAAGGCCCACCAAGGCGACGAUCCGUAGCUGGUCUGAGAGGAUGAUCAGCCACACUGGAACGGAGACACGGUCCAGACUCCUACGGGAGGCAGCAGUGGGGAAUAUUGGACAAUGGGCGCAAGCCUGAUCCAGCCAUACCGCGUGGGUGAAGAAGGCCUUCGGGUUGUAAAGCCCUUUUGUUGGGAAAGAAAUCCAGCCGGCUAAUACCUGGUUGGGAUGACGGUACCCAAAGAAUAAGCACCGGCUAACUUCGUGCCAGCCGCCGCCGUAA
rnacentral:rRNA from 1 species